CCAACAAAAAUUAUUCCAUCUUCAACCUCCGCUCCUCUAUAAUCGACACCACCAUGCUUUUGUUAUGAUGUGUGUUUUUUCACUUUCUCCAACGCUAGUCACCCAGUUGGCUCCGCACAUCUACUUCACGCCUCCUUUUGAUAGGUAUUUGCAUACCGGAUUACCGGGACACUUGCCCUCUAUUAUCCCUCCACCGUCUCCAUUCCUAAUACCUUUCCCACACCACCUACUUCUCUCUUUCUUCAAUAGACACAUCCAACUCUUAUAUAUCGAUUUACUAUAACUGAUUUGAGAUUAAAGAUGUUUUCUAUUCGCUUUUCACAUAUUGAUUUGAGAUUGAAUUUGUUUGGGUUCGUCAAAAUUUCCAACAAAGCGAUCAUGGACUGUGAAUAGAUGGGCAUCGACAUGCAUAUGAUUUGAGAUCGAAGAUGUUUAGUCUUCCCUUUUCACAUAUUGAUUUGAGAUUGAAUUUUCUUGGGUUCCUCAAAUAUAAUUUGAAGAAUUUAUAGGAAAACAAUCAUCACAUGUGACUAGAUGAGUAUUGACAAUGUGACUUAGGUUUCCGAAAUCACCUAUUUUUCUUGCUUUUUCGUCCUAAAUGGAAGUCAUAUGCGGAUUUACUCUUUCUACAGGAACUAAGUCGGAUGUUCAUUUUAUAGAUACAGCUCCACCGGUCCUCAUAUCUUCUCUCCAGGUGAUAAAAUCGAUAUUCGUUCAUUAGAUUUCUACAACUUUUUUGUUUUCGUAAUUAAACGCAACCCCAACUUCUAUUUGGUGGGUCGACGUCCAUAAAUUAUAAUCAAUUGCAGACUCUUGAUGCGUCUCAAAUGUUUGUCUUGUGAUAUGAAAAAGUAAUUUAAGCCCUGUGUGCACUACUGGUUUCUCACCACCUGAUCCAAAUAGGUAAUAACCUUUCAAAUCAAUCUAUAUGCAUCGCACCCUUUACCAAAUGUAGUAUUUGAAAAUGUAAACUAAGAUACCCCUUUCAUUUUGAUUAACAUAAGGUUUAUGGUUUUUACUUUUUACAAGUUUCAAGACUAUUCAUGGAUGAGUGUAAUAUUUCAACCAUGAGUAUGACCUUCCUGAAAAUACUAAAGAACGAUGAAUAAAUUAAGGUUCAAUCUUUUCUAAGAAAUAGUGGGAUCGAAACAGAAAUAGGGUCUGAAUCACAUCAUAGGGUAGAGCUGAUUGAUCUUCAUCGUGCUAGAAGUUUACUUGAUAGCUAAGUAACACAUGUUCACUUAUAUGGUUAAAUGAGCUGGAUGUUAAAACGGUUCCAAAGCUUUAACAUUGACAUAAUUAUAGGUAUCAUGCUUCUAAAGAAUUAGAAAAAGCUCUCAAGUUUCAGGCUGUAGCCUUGCCCAUAUUUAGUCAGAUUUUAUAUCAAAUUGCAUCACAUUCUUAUGCUAAUGGCAUUAGAUUUUGUUAAUAGAGGUCAUUGGCUGUAAGUUUGAUUGAAGUCACUCCCCAUUAGUUACAUGUAGUGAUUGUGGGAAGAAACUAUGGAUUUGAACUUUGUAAGCUUAUCUCCAUGAAUUAUAUUGUUUGGAAUCAUCAACAACCUGCAUUAUUUUGAACUAUCCUUCACUUCAAUCAAUUUACUUUUUAUUAUGAUUUUAAUACUUUAGAUUGCAAAAUCUAUAUCCAAACGGCCCCUGAUAUCACAUUUCUUAUGUUUAAUUACCUUGAAUAGGAGCUUGAUCAUACAUUAAUAUGAAAAUCUAAAAUAUUUAGGGGGUGGUUGGUUUUGUGCAUUUGAGGUGAUUAUUGUUACCAUAAGAAUUAGAAUUAAGAUGUAGUUUGAUAUAUAUUAGGAAGAGUAUGGUAUUUUUGGAUUUCCUAUGACUACUUAUCUCCCGUUUUGAUUAUUUUGACUUUAAUAAAAGUAAGGAGGUGAUAAGAUAUAACAUAGGGAGGUGAUAUUUACACUUUUUAAUUUGAUGCUUCCACUUAAAUUAAAAUUGUUUUUACAUUUUUACCCUUAAUUAAAAUUUGCAAAAAUAAAAUGAGAUAUAAAUGAGGGUUUAUACGUUUGCCUCUUAUCCAUACCAAAUUUAAACUUUUCUUACAAAAAUUAGUUUGUUUUUUAAUUUCCCUUUCUUUUUCCCCCUUAUUUACUUACAAAUUAAUUAAUUUUUGUUUUUUCUCCUCGUUUAUUCCUUGCAAAAAAUAGUUUGUUUUCUUAUUUAUUUAUCAAAGUAACCCGCUAAAUGAUAAGUGAUACUUCAUAUUAGACCAAUCCAUUUAAAAUUUUAAUAAUUUAUCUCUUUGUUCAUCCACUAAAUGAUAUAUAUUAUGUAAUGGAAAUUAUUUUAUUUCAAAGUUAUGUAUAUCACAACAAUAAAAUGUUUAAAUUAAUACAUAUUAAAUCAUAGUAAAUUGUUACCAAGGAAAAUAGUCAAAUCAUUAUAAUGUUAAAAAAAAAGUAUGACUAUAAAAAAAAAUUUCACCUUGCAUCAAUUAUAUAUUAUCAUUUAUACAGUUGGAUAUGCAUUUAAAUCAAAUAAGUUGCUCUUAAACAUUUUAUUAUUCUUUUGGAAAGACACGAGUAAAUGAAAGAUUAUGUGUUUAUGGUGAUUCCACAAACUCAAAUCUUGAAGGGUUUCGUACAGUAAAAUUUAUUUUAUUUUUCUUUUUUAAUUCAGGAGAUAUAUCCGUUGUCUAAUGAAUCAUUGGUUCAAAGAACAUAUCAGAUUUAGUCAAAAGUUUAGUAAUAUUUCGUUUACUCGUGUCUUCUAAAUGAGCUAUAAAGUAUCUAAAAACAACUUAUUUGAUUUAAAUGCAUAUUUAUUUUUUAUAAGUGGUAGUAUGUAAUUGGAGUACGGAAUGUUUUUUUUAUCAUCAACUUUUUUUUUUUUCUAAAUUAUUGUGAUUUAUAAAUUUUUGUUAGACGACAUUUUAGUGGGUAAUAUAAAUAUUUUUAUUUGAUAUGUAUUAAUUUAAAUAUUGUGUUGUGAUAUGCAUUGAUAUGGAAUGAAUUAUUUUUCGUUAUAUAUUAUUGUGAUAUGUAUAGAUAAAUAAUAAAGAAAAAUUACUUUUUGUUAGAUUUUAUAUUCAAAUGGAAAAGUUUAAUUGAUCGAGUAAGAUGGAAUCCUUUGGUGGGUUUGUUUGAUGAAAAAAAUAAGAAAACAAACUAAUUUGUUUUGUAAGAGAAAAACAUAAAUUAAUUAAUUUGUGUAAGUGAUAAAUAGGGGACGGGGACGGGUACGUUUAAAUUUGUUAUGGUAAGAGGCCAAUCGUAUAAACCCCUCUAUAUAAUUUUGUAGAUUUUAAAUAAGGGUAAAAAUGUAAAUGCAAAUUUAUAUUAAGUGGAAGAAUCAAAUUGAUAAGUGGAAAUAUCAUUACCCUAUAACAUAUUGAGUUUGUUUUGUAUUUUUUUUUAUUUAAUUAUUAACCAUAUCAUCGUAAACAUUGUUUGGUUCAUCAUUAAACAACCGACGAGAUACUUUACAGGUCACUAAAAAUGCAGAGUUGUGGUUUUUUCUAUAUGGGCCAUUUAUAUGGUAACUCAUGUUUUAGGCAACAUAAUUACAUUAGACAUCCUAUAAUUCGGUGUAGUUGUAAGUGCACCACCAUCUAUUAGUUGUUUAUUGGAUUCAAUAGCAGGAAGUACUGACAUUUCUACAAGACCAAACCCAUUUUGUUACUGGAUUUUCUUUGUUGUUUCAUGUCAUACUUUUGUACGUUAUUCAUUUAUUGUGCUGGUCUUUAUAGGUGUAAGUGCAAUUAAUGUAUUUCUGACUGACUUGUUCUAUAGUUGGAAGAACACAACAAUGUUUACCGACUUAAUUGUUACUCAACACUUAAGGAGAUACUAAUUGAUUGAUUAGUUAUGAGACUUGAUAUUUUAUAACUAAUUGUUUUGUAAUUGUACUUUUAUUAAAUUACUCCUGCUAUUAUUUUUGGAUUAAUAAUUGAAUUUUCUAAAGUUUGUAUAUUGUGGCAGCUUGGCAGAAGGGUCCGGUGACAACUGACAUGAGGGAAAAAAGAAUUGCUCCUACAACUCAAAAGUUCGAGAAGAAAACAUCAGUGGCUCAAUAUUUUACCAUCUUUUUCCAAAAUUUUGAAUUUUUUGUAUAAUGAGCUUUCAUAAGUUUAUUCAAGUGUUGUGUUGAGUUCAAAACUUGUAUAAAUCCAAAUUCAAGAAAAGAAGCUCAUACAAACAGGAUAAACAUGAUCUAAUUGCUUUAAGAUUGACCAUAAGGGAAUUCCUAACUAAAGAAUGGUUUGUCUAGGAAAAACGAAUGCUUAAUGGAAUUUAAUCAUCGUUCGUUCAUUUUGUAUGUAUGCAUGUUUUGAAUACUCAUGAAUAGUUUUAAGAGAUUUAUAAUUUUGCUUAUUGCAGCAACAAAAGAUUCUUUGAAUCUACAUGGACACGAGGCAAACAUGAUUUCGGCAAAUGCUAUUCCUGAAUUGUAUGUUGGCUUUUUUUUCUGUUCUUUCUUUAAUGUGCUUUACCAGCAAUGUUCCAUGUGGUUUUGUUAAUUUUUGUGUUGCAUUUUUUUUUUGCUGUGGCUUUAAACUGGAAGAAUUUUGAUGAAAAUGAACAGUAUGUAGGGAAGGCUCAAAAGAAAUCUGAAAGGCAUGGAACUCGAGUCUUGAACAAGUUCCAAGGUGUUAUUCAAGAAUAUCCAUGAAACUAUUGAUGAUGAUAAGCUACUGGAGUGUUUGUUGAGUAAGGGUACAGUUACUUUCUGCAUGGUUUGCCUCGAAUUCAAAGUUGUAGAUGCAUUAAUUGAUCCAUCAAUUAAAGGGUAUUUUGGGAAUUAUCGACAUACCUUUUAUUUUUUUUAGUUAUCAACAUAUUUACUUUAAAAGGUACAAAAAAGUCUAAUUACUCUAAA
rnacentral:lncRNA from 1 species